UCCUAACCGUGCAAAGGUAGCGUAAUCACUUGCCCUCUAAAUAAGGACCAGUAUGAACGGCUAAAUGAGGGCUAAUCUGUCUCCUUUAAUCUAUCAGUGAAACUGAUCUACCAGUACAAAAGCUGGUAUAAUAUUAUAAGACGAGAAGACCCUGUGGAGCUUAAAAUUAAAAUCACCCUAGACCUUCAUUCAAUGCCUAGGACCCUGAUCUAAUAAUUUUCAGUUGGGGCGACUUCGGAGUUAAACAAAACCUCCAAGUAAAAGACCUAAAUCUUCAACAAAGACCCACAAGUCAUUCCUUUGACCCAGUAAAACUGAUCAACGAACCAAGUUACCCCAGGGAUAACAGCGCAAUCUUCUUCAAGAGUCCCUAUCGACAAGAAGGUUUACGACCUCGAUGUUGGAUCAGGACACCCAAUUGGUGCAGCCGCCUAUUAAAGGUUCGUUUGUUCAACGAUUAAAUAGUCCUACGUGAUCUGAG
rnacentral:rRNA from 1 species